rnacentral:ncRNA from 2 species
UACGUACUGGGCGAACGUUAUUCGGAAUCACUGGGCUUAAAGGGUGCGUAGGCGGCCUUCCAGGUCCGGUGUGAAAUCUCUCGGCUCAACCGAGAAACUGCGCUGGAAACCGGAAGGCUUGAGUGUGCUAGGGGUGUGUGGAACUUCCAGUGGAGCGGUGAAAUGUGUUGAUAUUGGAAGGAACGCCGGUGGCGAAAGCGACACACUGGGGCAUAACUGACGCUGAGGCACGAAAGCUAGGGUAGCGAACGGG